CCGCACGCUCGCCCCGCGCCCAUGCAACAACGCAGGGACGCGCGCACACACGUACACACGCACACACACACACGUACACACACGGCCCCCCCCCUUCCCCUCCCGCCCCCCAUCCAGCAAUCAUGGCUGCGCCGCCCGCACGCUCCGAUUGGGGCUCCGCGAGCGCCACCGCCUGUCCUGCUCCCGAGGCUCCUCCCGGAGGGGUUUAACCCGUUGGCACCUGUUUGGUUGUGAUUUCUUUGCCGUGGAUCCCAGAGCAAAGCGAGGGAUGCUCCGUGGGAUCGCACCUGCAGGGCUGUCUCAGCCCCCAGGACAAAACGUGGAGCGGCCGCUGGUCGUGCUGUGGGCACUUGGACUUGAACUGCACGUUUGCCUUUCGGGGGAUUACGUUCCGCUUUACAUCACUAAUUCCUGCGGUGAGGAAAGGGCACGGCUCUUCUGGAGCCGUGUGUCCAAAAUGUGGCCAUAGAACGGAGCGGGCGACGUCGAAGUGAUGCGCGCUGACCCGUGGGCUGCACUGUCCUCGUGGCCAUAACCACAGAGGGCAAUGGCAGAGCUCAUUACUGAGCUGAGCAGCUCAUUGCUGUGUGAGGAGUGCUGCCGGAGAUGGGGUCGGCUUCUCCACCCCACAGCAAGAGCUGUUAGCUUCACUUCUGCCUGCGGAGCAUAGCGGAGCAGCUUUCCUUUUGGAAGGGGAUGGCACCUUUGCACUUGCUGCAAGGUCCCCUUAGUCUAAGUGACCUGGAAGUCCUUCAGACAGCAGCGAAUAAAACAUUCUUAC
ensembl:lncRNA